GUUUGUGCUGUUGUUCUAACACUGUUACACCAUUGUUUUCAUCAGUCAAGGCUGGUACAGGGACCACACCAUAACAUCAAUAUUAUGUUCUCCGGACCUGGAAUCUGUUUCCAUUCAGUGCAAACCUUACAGUUCAACCCAGAACUUCUGCUCAGUCAUUUUGGCAGGAGUUCACAUCACCUCAAGUCCCUGUGCCAUCUGAAGACAACAGCUACUGGCUGUCCCGAUAACUGGCAGGGUCUCGGCCCCCCAUCAAGCAGGCUCAGGAACAUUUUCUUUCCGGCUGCUGUAACCCUGCUGAACUCUGUGACCCAGCACUAACCAUACCCACCAAACUGCCCACCGCUUAGUACUGCCUCUCAGGGACCUUGUUUGUACUACUGGACUCUGACAAUGCUUUCCAAACUCUGAUAAGGAUGUUUUCAGUUGUUACAUGUCUACCUUGGGAACCUCAUUGCUGC
ensembl:lncRNA